GAUGAACGCUGACAGAAUGCUUAACACAUGCAAGUCGAUGGGGAAGUGGUGCUUGCACCAUGGCAACCAUGGCGGACGGGUGAGUAACGCGUAAGGGACUUACCUGCAGGACUGGGAUAACAGGGGGAAACUCCUGACAAGACCGGAUAAUGUCAUGGAGCUGCAUGGCUUUAUGAUGAAAGGAGACGCCUGCGGAGAGCCUUGCGUCCUAUUAGCUAGUUGGUGAGGUAAUGGCUCACCAAGGCGAAGAUAGGUAGCCAGCCUGAGAGGGUGGACGGCCACAAGGGGACUGAGAUACGGCCCUUACUCCUACGGGAGGCAGCAGUGGGGAAUAUUGGACAAUGGGGGCAACCCUGAUCCAGCAAUUCUGUGUGCACGAAGAAGGUUUUCGGAUUGUAAAGUGCUUUCAGCAGGGAAGAAGUAAGUGACGGUACCUGCAGAAGAAGCGACGGCUAAAUACGUG
rnacentral:rRNA from 1 species